AAAUGUUUUGGAAAGGCAUUUUAAAAUAUUAAAAGCUCUAGAAGCUUUAUCAGAUAUAUUACAGACAUGCUUAUUCCAAGAUAGAUUUUUUGUUAAUGUUACACCAAGAAACUUGGCUUCAGCUACUACAGGCAGUAUGCUACCAUUAUAAUUAAUAUUAGCAUGCAAAGUUCUUGAUCUACUGAAUAUAACAACUUUAGUUUUAUCUAAACUAAUAUCUAAUUGUAAAUAUUUAAAAUAAACAUUUAAUUUCUUUAGAGCUUUGUUUAUUUUAUUUUCUACUAUAUGAAUAUUUGAGCCUGAACAGUAAACUGCUAAAUCAUCAGCAAACUGUAAAUUGCUGACUUCAUUACCAAGAAUAAUAUUAAUUUUAUGAAUAUACAAAAUAAAUAACAGUGGACUCAAUAUUCCCCCUUGACAUACACCUAUAUAUGAAGAUUGUGGACCAUAUAAAUUAUUAUUGUACUUAACAUAGACUUGUCUAUUAUGUAGGAAAUUAAAAAUCCAGUUAAUCAACUUAUCUGGUAUUCCUAGUGUUUGCAGUUCAUUAGUUAGAAUAUGAUGAUUAACAUUGUUAAAAGCACCAACUAUAUCAAAGAAGACAGAAACCAGUAUAUUGUUACUAGAAAAAGCACGAUGAAUAUCUAGGUUUAAAUGAUUUAAGCUCUCUGUAGCUGAAAAACCUUUCCUGAAGCCAAACUGAUUUGAAGAUAACUGAUAGAGGAGUUUGCCGAUUGAUCGACUCACAGAAUUUUAACCAACUGGCAUUUCUUUCGUUUUUGAGAUGUUACAUAAAAGGUGGGUGAUGGUUGGAAGAUGAUAGCUCCCUAAAGGAUUAUCAUGUACAGACCAAUUGCAUCGGAGUGACAGAGAGGCAGAAACAAUUGUAAGAUCCAGAGCACUUGGACUCCAUAUAUCAGAGCCUACAGUAGUGGGUUGACCAUUAUUAAUUAUACAAAGAUCAUUGUCUUCAAUAGUAUUAAGAAGAAUAGUGCCUCUAGAAUCGGUUCUAGAGCAACCCCAAGUGGUAUUGUGGGCGUUAAAGUCACCCGCUAUUAUCAUAGGUGACGGGAUAGAUUUAAAUAAGUUAUCUAAAUGUAAAUGUGUAAAGUUACGUGACGUUGCGGAUGUAGGGCUGUAAAAACUAACAAAAGAAAUUGUUUCAUUUUUCAAAUAUAAUUUUAAAGCGAUAUUUUGCAAAGAAUCAUCGUGAUAUGUAUUUAAUCUGUCAUAAUUCAAUUUGUUUUGUAUUAGAAUGGCUACACCAUUAUGAUUAUUACCAAUGUCUAAUCUUUCUAUAUUGUAACCUUUGAUAUUAAAGUUUUUGAAAGGCUUUAGCCAAGUUUCAGAAAGAAGGGCGAUAUGUAUAUUGUUGUUAUAUAAAAAAUAAGUAAAAGCAAGUCUAUUAUUUAUCAAGCUCUGGGCAUUCCACUCGAUAAUAUUUAAAAUAUUAUCCAUUAAAGAGAUACUAUUAAUUAGUGUUAGUACUGGAAAUCUUAAAAGUAUCUAAAAUUAUGUUUUUUAUGCCUUCUGAGUUUAAGGGAGAGUCAUCUGUUUUAUUAACAGAAAUAAUUUUAAUAAC